rnacentral:rRNA from 1 species
GACGAACCGUGCGAACGUUGUUCGGAAUCACUGGGCUUAAAGGGCGCGUAGGCGGCCGGGUUGGUCGUGGGUGAAAUCCCCCAGCUUAACUGGGGAACUGCCUACGAUACUGCCUGGCUCGAGGGAGGAAGGGGCGGUCGGAACUGUCGGUGGAGCGGUGAAAUGCGUUGAUAUCGACAGGAACGCCGGUGGCGAAAGCGGACCGCUGGCCCUCUUCUGACGCUGAGGCGCGAAAGCCAGAGGAGCGAACGGG